GGGAGAGAUGCAAGAUAAAGGCUUUGUGUAUAUUCAUCAAUACUUGACGCUGUAGGCAAUGUGGAUCAUGUAAAAGAUGUUUCGUCUCUGUUAUAACAUGAAAAAGGCUACUAUUUUAUUUCAUUUCUUUCACAAAUUGCAUAGACUUAAACAGUCUAUUUUUAUAAUUUAAGGUGCUUGAAAACAAGAUCACGUACAUAGACAAAUUGAAAUAGGUUAAGUGUGUUUAUUAACACGCUUAUUUUUAUUUGUUGGACUACACAUAAAGGUAAAAAGGAUACAAAACAUUAGGAUAACCAUGCAUACAUGAGGGGACCGUUUCACUCAGUAACUUCCCUAAGCAGGGAACGUUUCAGCUGUAACAAAACAAUCGAAUUCGAUGCACAUAAUUGGGUCUUUCUGGUGCUCCGCCGUUAUCUUUAGUGUAGCCAAAUAAUUAUAAUAUCUCUUCUGGAAGUAUUUAAAAAAAAAGGGGCCUCGUUAGGUCACUAGAAAACCCAAUAAAAUGGAGAUCUGAAAUGCAGCGAUUAUAGAAUUAGUCUCAGACUAGUUGUUGAUGUAAAGAAAAACUUA
rnacentral:lncRNA from 1 species